CAAAUUACUUUAUCCAAACUGAAGCUUCCAAGAAAAGACCACAAUCUGUGGCUAUAUAUCAUCUACAUCCCUCCACUUCUUCAUAAAUUGACUAAAAAUCAUCCAUCAUCCUUUCUUUCAUUCUUGCAUCUAAUCAAAUUUAUUCAAUAGGUGAUGUAUUUUUGAGUUCCAUAGGUGAAAAAAAGGCGAGCUAAAUUCGAAACUAGAGAAAGCAAUUCAAGAAAUUAGGGUUUGUAUUGUUAUUUUCUCGAAAUUUCAUGCUUCUUCUAGCUGGUGUCUUGAAGAACUAGUUAAAAUACUUAAGUUAAAGCAGAUAAUUUUGUGUAUUUUAUACAAUCUCGAUCUUCUCAAGUGCGAAAGCAAAUUGGGUGUUUUGGUGAAGAUUUGGGUAUACAGAAAGGACGAUUAUUUGGGGUUUUGCGAGAUGUUGCUGACGGGCAUGAAUCUAAAUUUAUCGAGAAUAUUAUAGAAUAAGUCCUGCCAGAGGUGAACCAAACACCUCUAUAUGUUGCUUGGUACCCAGUUGGAGUAUAUACUCGUGUCAAAGAAAUAGAGUUGUUAUCGCAAAAUGAAUGUGUUGAUGAAGUUCACAUGAUUGGUAUAUUUGGCAUUGGUGGAAUAGGAAAAACAACUUUGACAAAGGCAAUCAAAUUAAUCAAGGCAAGACUCGGGUCUAAGAAGGUUCUAAUUGUCCUUGAUGAUAUGGACAGUGAAAGGCAAUUAAAAUCCUUAGCAAGAGAAAGAAGUUGGUUUGGUCCGGGUAGUUUAAUAAUAAUUACAGCCCGAGACGAACAUUUGAUAAAUGGGCUUAGAGCAAAUGAUGCCAAUUCGAGGCUAGAAGAAGACCAGUUGGUUGCUAUUUGAUUGUUAGGAUCGGAAGAAAUGUGAGAUUUUAAGGAAAGAAGAGCUACUUCUAAUCGGGGGUUUAGUACCAAGAUCGAUAGAGCAAUUGAUGCGGUUUUCGGGUUUGGUCGACAGGGUAUUUCACUAAUAUCUCAACUUUCUUCACGUGGAAUCUCUCCAAAUGUGUUUUCACAUAGUCUGAAAGGAGAGGGCAAUGGUGGAGGUAUACUAGUUCUUGGUGUGAUUUUGAAUCCGAGCAUCCUCAGCAAAUACCUUUUUCCUCCCAAUUCAUCUCGGAGCUUCUUAACUAUUAUAUCCCUGCUUUGGACCUCAACUUUCCUCUUUGUCAAUGAUUCGAGGAUCAGUUCAAAAAACUUUAGUUUCAGACAUUUCAGGUAGACACAAACAAACGCUCUUUCCAAAGUGUUGUCUGAUCUGUUCAUCAUUGAAAAUUCUCUUAGCUACGGGAAUUGUGCAAAUUGGGUUGUUAUCCAACCUCUCUGCACUCGUAGCGGACACCCGCAUCCGAGUCCGAGCAACUUAAGUAGUUAUUGGAAAAUGAAUAUGUAGAUGAAGUUGACAUGGCAUUGGUGGAAUAGGAAAAACAACUUUGGCAAAAGGUAUCAAGAAGUCUGCGAUGUUCUACAAGGAAAUAAGAUCUUUCUUAUGGUCUGGUACUGCAGA